rnacentral:lncRNA from 1 species
AAAAACUAAAACUAAAAAACGAAAAAAAAAACUAUGUGGGCAAGAUUAAAGCAACUCUUACACAAUGACAUGCGUAUUUACUCAAAACUUAAAAUUAAAACUGCAAUAAUGACUCAAUGUGAGCAAUUAUCACUUUUACACAAUAUAAUUUAUGGCUAGUAUAAAGCUUGCUUGCGCCUUUCGGGUGUAGAGACUUUCCCGCUUCUUGUGACAAUUAUAUCAUUUGGUGGAUGUAUGACUUGUGCUAUUGGGUUUCCCUUAUAUUGUUUCGGGAAAAC